ACUACGGGAGGCUGCAGUGGGGAAUAUUGCACAAUGGGCGCAAGCCUGAUGCAGCCAUGCCGCGUGUGUGAAGAAGGCCUUCGGGUUGUAAAGCACUUUCAGCGGGGAGGAAGGCGGUGAGGUUAAUAACCUCAUCGAUUGACGUUACCCGCAGAAGAAGCACCGGCUAACUCCGUGCCAGCAGCCGCGGUAAUACGGAGGGUGCAAGCGUUAAUCGGAAUUACUGGGCGUAAAGCGCACGCAGGCGGUCUGUCAAGUCGGAUGUGAAAUCCCCGGGCUCAACCUGGGAACUGCAUUCGAAACUGGCAGGCUAGAGUCUUGUAGAGGGGGGUAGAAUUCCAGGUGUAGCGGUGAAAUGCGUAGAGAUCUGGAGGAAUACCGGUGGCGAAGGCGGCCCCCUGGACAAAGACUGACGCUCAGGUGCGAAAGCGUAGGGAGCAAACAGGAUUAGAUACCCCGGUAGUC
rnacentral:rRNA from 1 species